UGAAUACGAGACGCUACGGCGUCGAAGCAGUCUAUGUCAUACUUCCAAGAAAAGCUCGCAAUGUCAUAAACAAAUAAUGCCUGUACCAUAACCGACACAGGUGGGUAGGUAGGGUAUACUAAGGGGCGCGAGAUAACUCUCUCUAAGGAACUCGGCAAAAUGACUCCGUAACUUCGGGAGAAGGAGUGCCUUAUUUAUAAGGUUGCAAUAACAAGAUCCAAGCAACUGUUUAUCAAAAACACAGGUCUCCGCUAAGUCGUAAGACGAUGUAUGGGGCUGACGCCUGCCCAGUGCCAGAAGGUUAAAGUAGUUGGUUAGCAUUCGCGAAGCUGAUAACUGAAGCCCUGGUGAACGGCGGCCGUAACGAUAACGGUCCUAAGGUAGCGAAAUUCCUUGUCGGGUAAGUUCCGACCCGCACGAAAGGCGUAAUGAUUUGGAUACUGUCUCGGAGAGGGGCUCGGUGAAAUAGACUUGUCUGUGAAGAUGCGGACUACCUGCACCUGGACAGAAAGACCCUAUGAAGCUUUACUGUAACUUGAAAUUGAAAUUGGACUUUAUUUGCGCAGCAUAGGUGGGAGGCGUUGAGAGUAUUCUUGCGGGAAUAUUGGAGCCAUCAGUGAGAUACCACUCUUGUAAUGUUAGAUUUCUAACUUUGGAUCAUUAUCUGGUCAAAGAACAGUUUCAGGCGGGCAGUUUGACUGGGGCGGUCGCCUCCCAAAUGGUAACGGAGGCGUACAAAGGUUUCCUCUGAACGGGUAGAAAUCGUAUCUAGAGUGUAAAGGCAUAAGGAAGCUUGACUGUGAGACCUACAAGUCGAGCAGGGACGAAAGUCGGUCUUAGUGAUCUGACGGUGCUGAGUGGAAAGGCCGUCACUCAACGGAUAAAAGUUACUCUAGGAUAACAGGCUGAUCUCCCCCAAGAGUUCACAUCGACGGGGAGGUUUGGCACCUCGAUGUCGGCUCAUCGCAUCCUGGGGCGGUAGUACGUCCCAAGGGUUGGGCUGUUCGCCCAUGAAAGCGGUACGCGAGCUGGGUUCAGAACGUCGUGAGACAGUUCGGUCCAUAUCCGGUGUAGGCGUUAGAAUAUUGAGAGGAGCCUUCUUUAGUACGAGAGGACCGAGAAGGACAUACCUCUGGUGUACCAGUUAUCGUGCCAACGGUAAACGCUGGGUAGCUAUGUAUGGAGAGGAUAACCGCUGAAAGCAUCUAAGUGGGAAGCCCACCUCAAGAUAAGUAUUCUC
rnacentral:rRNA from 1 species